GAUGAACGCUGGCGGCGUGCCUAAUACAUGCAAGUCGAGCGAAUGGAUUAAGAGCUUGCUCUUAUGAAGUUAGCGGCGGACGGGUGAGUAACACGUGGGUAACCUGCCCAUAAGACUAGGAUAACUCCGGGAAACCGGGGCUAAUACCGGAUAAUAUUUUGAACUGCAUGGUUCAAAAUUGAAAGGCGGCUUCGGCUGUCACUUAUGGAUGGACCAGCGUCGCAUUAGCUAGUUGGUGAGGUAACGGCUCACCAAGGCAACGACGCGUAGCCGACCGGAGAGGGUGAUCUGCCACACUGGGACUGAGACACGGCCCAGACUCCUACGGGAGGCAGCAGUAGGGAAUCUUCCGCAAUGGACGAAAGUCUGACGGAGCAACGCCGCGUGAGUGAUGAAGGCUUUCGGGUCGUAAAACUCUGUUGUUAGGGAAGAACAAGUGCUAGUUGAAUAAGCUGGCACCUUGACGGUACCUAACCAGAAAGCCACGGCUAACUACGUGCCAGCAGCCGCCGUAA
rnacentral:rRNA from 1 species